rnacentral:rRNA from 1 species
GACGAACGCUGGCGGCGUGCUUAACACAUGCAAGUCGAACGGUAAGGCCCUUCGGGGUACACGGGUGGCGAACGGGUGAGUAACACGUGGGUGAUCUGCCCUGCACUUCGGGAUAAGCCUGGGAAACUGGGUCUAAUACCGGAUAGGACUCCGGACUGCAUGGUCUGGGGUGGAAAGCUUUUGCGGUGUGGGAUGGGCCCGCGGCCUAUCAGCUUGUUGGUGGGGUGAUGGCCUACCAAGGCGACGACGGGUAGCCGGCCUGAGAGGGUGACCGGCCACACUGGGACUGAGAUACGGCCCAGACUCCUACGGGAGGCAGCAGUGGGGAAUAUUGCACAAUGGGCGCAAGCCUGAUGCAGCGACGCCGCGUGAGGGAUGACGGCCUUCGGGUUGUAAACCUCUUUCAGCAUCGACGAAGCGAAGUGACGGUAGGUGCAGAAGAAGGACCGGCCAACUACGUGCCAGCAGCCGCCGUAA